UACAGAGGUCCCAAGCGUUGUUCGGAUUCACUGGGCGUAAAGGGUGCGUAGGUGGCGAGGUAAGUCGGAUGUGAAAGCUCGGAGCUCAACUCCGAAAUGGCGUUGGAAACUACCUUGCUAGAGGGUCGGAGGGGGGACUGGAAUUCUUGGUGUAGCAGUGAAAUGCGUAGAUAUCAAGAGGAACACCAGUGGCGAAGGCGAGUCCCUGGACGACUCCUGACACUGAGGCACGAAAGCUAGGGGAGCAAACAGG
rnacentral:rRNA from 1 species